AUUGAACGCUGGCGGCAGGCCUAACACAUGCAAGUCGAGCGGCAGAAGGGAACUUGCUUGUGGUUUCGGCGGCGGACGGGCGGGCAAGGCCUAGGAAUCUGCCUGGCUAUGGGGGAUAGGGUGAGGAAACGGGCGAUAAUACGGCAUUCGCGCAUAGGGAGAAAGGGGGGGAUCAUCGGACCUUACGAUCUUGCGUGAGUCUAGGUCGGAUUAGCUAGUUGGUGGGGUAAAGGCCUACCAAGGCGACGAUCCGUAGCUGGUCUGAGAGGAUGAUCAGUCACACUGGAACUGAGACACGGUCCAGACUCCUACGGGAGGCAGCAGUGGGGAAUAUUGGACAAUGGGCGAAAGCCUGAUCCAGCCAUGCCGCGUGUGUGAAGAAGGUCUUCGGAUUGUAAAGCACUUUUGUUUGGGAGGAAGAGCAGCAGGUUAAUACCUUGCUGUUUUGACGUUACCAACAGAAUAAGCACCGGCUAACUUCGUG
rnacentral:rRNA from 1 species